UUACCUCCAAAAUUUUACCCCAAAAUUAUUUCCCUCCAACUUUAACCUGGUUUCACUCGUCUGCCCAUAUUCCUCCCAAAAAUUGCAAUUGUUUGUUUAAUGCUCGUAUGUCUCUUAUUCACGGUAGCGAAUUGUUGAAGGAGGCCAUCAAUUUUCACAGAAGAUUGGAAUUAGAAGAAAUCACAAUUUGGACUUGCGAAAACGACGAUUCAGACAUUCGAUUUCAGCAAGCUUAGGGGGGAUGGACGAUAUUUUCCCCGGAAUUCACCGUGUGUCAAAUCAGCGUCGCAUCAGCUUUUCUCCCAUUUUCCCCGACUUUCGCUCACAAUGCUUGGUAUCAUCCUAACAAUGCUUGGUAUCAUCCGAAUGUAAUUUUCCCGAUGUUCACCCAAGCCGUAACCACUUUUCAGUCCAAAGUCUCCUUGCAAUCUGAGAGAUGUUAAAGAAAUUAUUUGAGAAAAGAAUGAGUGGUGCGGGUAAAAUGUUGUGUGAUUGUGUAUUUGUAUUUGUAUUUAUUUGAGACAUUCCCCAUGCAUCUUCCCAGCUCAUUGGUGCUACUUCAGCAAUAUUCGGUGGAAAAAACACCCCGAUUUCGGGAGUCAUGUUCUAGGACAGGACCGGGUGUCACUUGACCCUCCCCAAACUCCACUCUGUCCGCCUUUGUUGUAGUUGUUUAGAAACUAGUAAAUUUCCCAUGCGUUGCUACGUGCUCGAAAUGUAAAGUAACUCGAAUUUAUACCGUCUAAUGAA